rnacentral:rRNA from 1 species
CUCCUACGGGAGGCAGCAGUAGGGAAUCUUCCACAAUGGACGAAAGUCUGAUGGAGCAACGCCGCGUGAGUGAUGAAGGGUUUCGGCUCGUAAAACUCUGUUGUUAAAGAAGAACAAGUGUUAGAGUAACUGUUAACACUUUGACGGUAUUUAACCAGAAAGCCACGGCUAACUACGUGCCAGCAGCCGCGGUAAU